rnacentral:rRNA from 1 species
UUUCGCAAUGCCUGAAAGGGUGACGAAGCGACGCCGCGUGUGGGGAGAAGGCCUUCGGGUUGUAAACCACUGUCGGGAGUUAAGAAAUGUAAGGAUGUUAAUAGCGUCCUUACUUGACUAAGGCUCCGGAGGAAGCCACGGCUAACUCUGUGCCAGCAGCCGCGGUAAUACAGAGGUGGCAAGCGUUGUUCGGAAUUAUUGGGCGUAAAGAGCACGUAGGCGGCCCUGAAAGUCAGUUGUGAAAGCCUUCUGCUUAACGGAAGAACAGCAGCUGAUACUGCAAGACUAGAGUGCGGAAGGGGAGAGUGGAACUUCUGGUGGAGCGGUGAAAUGCGUAGAUAUCAGAAGGAACACCGGCGGCGAAGGCGACUCUCUGGUCCGUAACUGACGCUGAGUGUGCGAAAGCUAGGGGAGCAAACGGGAUUAGAUACCCUGGUAGUCCUAGCUGUAAACGAUGGGCACUAAGUAGAGGGGUUUU